CAUUAAAACACCAGUUCCCGUAUGAUCACCAAAGUUAAGCAUGUUGAGCCUGAUCAGUACUUAGAUGGGUGACCACUUAGGAAUACCAAGUGGUGUAAG